AUUGAACGCUGGCGGCAGGCCUAACACAUGCAAGUCGAGCGGCGCGUCGGACGGGUGAGUAAUGCCUAGUAAUCUGCCUGUUAGUGGGGGAUACCGUCUGGAAACGUGCGCUAAUACCGCAUACUAUCAGAUGAGCCUAGGUUGUAUUAGCUAGUUGGUGGGGUAAUGGCCUACCAAGGCGACGAUCCGUAACUGGUCUGAGAGGAUGAUCAGUCACACUGGAAUGUAGACACGGUCCAGACUACUACGGGAGGCAGCAGUGGGGAAUAUUGGACAAUGGGGGAAAGCCUGAUCAAGAAAGGCCGCGGGUGUGAAGAAGGUCUUCGGAUUGUAAAGCACUUUAAGUUGGGAGGCGUUACCAAAAGAAAAAGCAACGGCUAACUUCGUGCCAGCAGACGCGGUAAUAC
rnacentral:rRNA from 1 species